rnacentral:rRNA from 1 species
GGGGAAUCUUCCGCAAUGGGCGAAAGCCUGACGGAGCAACGCCGCGUGAGGGAAGAAGGCCUUCGGGUUGUAAACCUCUGUUUUCAGGGAAGAAAGAAAUGACGGUACCUGAAGAGUAAGCUCCGGCUAACUACGUGCCAGCAGCCGCGGUAAUACGUAGGGAGCGAGCGUUGUCCGGAUUUACUGGGCGUAAAGGGCGCGUAGGUGGUCCAUUAAGUUAUAGGUGAAAGCCCGGGGCUUAACCCCGUGAUUGCCUGUGGUACUGGUGGACUUGAGUGCAGGAGAGGGGAGCAGAAUUCCCAGUGUAGCGGUGAAAUGCGUAGAUAUUGGGAGGAAUACCAGUGGCGAAGGCGGCUCUCUGGACUGUAACUGACACUGAGGCGCGAAAGCGUGGGUAGCGAAC